CUGAAUUGCGGUUUAAUUCGAUUUAUCUCACCUGUCCAUGUAAUGCGGAAUGUGGGACGUGAAAGUGUGACAAAAUGGAUGUGGCGUUGCACUAUUACCUGGAGAAAAUACGGAAAAGUGCAACAUUGGCGUAAUUAGUGUGUGGUAGGAGAAAACGUCACGAAGGGCUUAUUUUCAAAUCAAAAGAUAAGGAAGAUAAUUCAUUAACACUCACCGUUUAUCUUCAGUAAUAAUCAAAUUAGGGCAAUGAUCCGAUUUUUUUUUGAUAAUGGGUGUUAUCUUGGUAUUAGGCAGGCACCUCAAAUUAAUACAAUUAGUAAAAAAUGUUAAUCCCACUUCAAACACUUGCUUUUUCUUUUAUCGUUUUUAUCUUUAUUCUAAAGAUUAAAUUUCUACUUAGAAUUGAUAAGUGAGUGCGUUGAACACUUUUUAUGCAGUUAUCAGUGUUUUCCAGUAGCCUUGAAUAGUGGAAAUCAUUAGUUUCCUAUUUAUAAUAGCUCAGACCUUCACAUUGUAGUUUUUCUUAUUUUAUAUUUUGUUUCAAAUUUUACCGCUCCCUGAAUAAAUUUUACUAUUAUU